UUUUUUUUUUUUUAAGGAAGUUCUAGCUCAAUGGCAGGCACUUUAAGAUGUGACUCAAUUCUCUUUAAUAAUUGAAUUCAAUUGAAAAGGACAAAGCCCACCCCUCAACAUUCAGAGUUUAAGGAUAUAGAUACACCAAGAGAUAAAAUGACAAUAAUAAAGAUCUGUUAUGCACCAUUAAGGAUGGCUUUGUUAGGGAAGAUUUCCUCUUAGAGAUGACACCUGAGUCUUGAAGUUCACGAAAGUAAAACUGCUCAAAGCAGAGUAUAAGCAAGGCUUGGGUAGCUACAGAACUGUUGUUUUCUAGGACGCAGGCAGUCAAUGACUGCCUCACUCACCUGGGUAGUCUGGCAUUGAUUAGGAAAGCAGGAAUGAUUUAGUAAAUUUAAGCAAUGCGAUUGUAAUUAGAAUUUCAUUUCAGGAAAAUUAAUCAUUCCAGCAGUACAUAAGAGGUCAUUGAGGGGUAAAACUAGAAGCUGACAGAUAAUUUAGGAAGGACAAUAGUAUUACGUAAAAGAAAUGAUGGAUAGGCAAAAUUACAUAGGCAAUCUUCUGACAUUCGUGAAGGAAGUUGGUCGGGAGUCUUUGUAUCAUCUUUGCCUCCAUGAUGAACAUUCCAUUCCCAUCAUCAGGUGCCUCUUGCUCCAAGGAAAGAUCAGAGAGAACUCUUAAGUCUUAGAAAGUUUGAGUAAGACUUGCUUCCCUGUAUCUCUAUGAAAUGAAAGUCUUUGUUUCCUGUUUAAGGAAUUUCAAGAAUUUAAGUAAAGGGUAGGGGGGACUAGACGAGCCUUGGCUGUCUUUAAUGCCUUUGUGUAAAUCCAGUCCUAAAGGUAAGCCAAAUUUAGCCCUUUUAUAGUGACUAGGAAUUAGAGUGGCCCAGAAGGAUGAAUUCAAUGUCUGCCCCUCAGAGCUCUGUCUUCCUCCCCAGAAAGGAUAAUAUGGGUUCUACCUCCAUUGCAGACAUUUGACAACCCAAAUCAGAAUGGGUUCUGCUAGGCUGUAGCCUUUGAUUCUUUGACACAGUUCAGUUCAGGUUUCUUUCUGCCCUAUGAGCCCCUGCCUAAGCAAAACUGGACAUUUUCUUCCACCCUCCUGGCUGGUAAUCCGUGUUUAUAUAUUCUAGCAAUACUAAUAGUUUAUUAUUUAGAGAUGUAUAUUUGCAUCCUAUUUUUUACCUUUUUGACUUUCCAGAAUGCAUUCCAGUUUCAUUUAUUUCUCUAGCAGGUCUCAGAAUUUUUAUGGUAAGAUCAGCUGUUUAUAAGCAUGUAUUCCUUUCAUCAGUAGAGAGAUUCUUAUAAAAGUGCUUCUUAAUGAUUUCCUUAGUCUGCAAUUGGACUGACAUGUGUUCACAAAUAAUAAUGCUAAGCGGGGCACUAUACAAAGAAAGUUAAAGGUCUUAGAUGUCCUUUUUGUUUUUAACAGAAUCAUCAAAAAUAAAAGUAAGACAGCCUUUCAGGAUUGAUAAUGGUAAAGUAAGAAGCUGCUGUUUUGCACUGGCACACUCUACUUGGCUCAUAGAACUUGUUCAGCAUUCUUGGAUCAUGUGAGUUAGAUUUAUUUUUCCUUCUCCUCAUCAGGGAAACUGAUAGAUUAAAUAGUUUCGGGAAUUUUCCCAAGGUCUAAUGUCUUACGUUGAGCUAUUAAACAGAGCACUGAAGUUUAUGAACUAAGGUAUUACCCAUGAGAGCCAAAGUUACUCCUCUGAAAGAAGGAAAAGGUGCUUUGAUCAUAAAAAUAACUGAAUUUUAAAAUAUAGCAAAUGUAACACUUUUGCUUUCCCAUAAAAAGUUGAAUUUACCUUUUUAAUUCAUUCUUUGCAUGCCUGAUAUAUUUCUGUAUAACAACCAUAAAGUAUGCUUGCCCACUUUAAUUCAGAAUGUUUUCCAGAUCUCAGUUCUUGCUGUCAUUUAGCAGGCAAGCAGUAUAUCUAUAGAUAGGUCAUACCUGAGGCAGUCCAUGAACAGCAAGGGAACAUUUUUCUCACACUUGGGUGUGAACUGUCACACUAGAACUGAAUUCUAGUGUUCCUACUUUAAGAAAACAAUAAAAAUUCACAAAAUAUAUAUAAUUUAAUCAGGUGGCAGAUGGACAGAAAAAAAUAUGCAUAACUUUGUUAUGCCCCUAAAUUUUUUUUUAGAAACUUGAGUUUUGUUUUUUUAUUUUAUAGGAACACUCUUGAAAUGCAAUUCAAUUCUAGUUCAGUCAGGCACUGCCUACAACCUGAAUGGAACGUUUGGGAGUAGAAAAAUGAGGCAUGAUUUAAACACUUCAGGAGUUCAUGGUCCAAUGUAAAAAGCUAGAGCAUCACAUUGUUUUUCAAAGUAUGUCUCAUGAUUUGUGGACCUCAUUUCAUUUGUGGAAUGAAACAUUCUUAUAAAUGAACAGUAAUACUGCCAUGCCAUGUGAAACCCUUUGACAUUACCAGCAAACAACUUGAAAUCACCAAAAAGCUUUAACAUCAAAUACUUAGAAAAAGGGGGCCUGGCGAAAAGACCUUGCAUUUCUAUAUUUAGCCUGCAAGGUAUCCCCUAGGAAAGGAACUAGUCUGAAAGAGAAGUUUACACAUUUCUUAAUACUCUAGUUUGUAGAUAACAGAAUUGAUUUAAAUUAAAAUAAUUCUUGUAUCAUGAAUUAUAUCAUCUAUUGUCAUUAUCUUAGCUGGCAAAAUCAGCUACCAUUCAGUGAACCAAGUUAAUAAUAACUCAGGUACCUAAUACCAAAAUUAAAUCUGAUAAAGCUGAGAAUCCAGAAGGAAACACAUUGAGUAAAUGAUAAAAGUGACAUUUCAAAUCAAUAAGGGAAGAAUGGAUUAUUCAGCAAAUAGUACUAAGACAGCAUAACCUUUUGGUAAAAAAUAAUUUUAGAUCUCUAACUCACAAAAAUUAAUUCCAGCAGGACUCACGCUUUUUGGUCACAUACACAUAUUUAGAAAUAUCCCUGUGAAAAUGUAUGUAAGCAAGAAGUUUUGCAAGUAGGUUGUGAAGAGAUGCCCAACUUUAGACAAAUAAGGGGAAUGCACAUUAAAACACGAGAGACUAUCUCAGAUCCAGUUGGCAAAAUAUUGAAAGUAUAAAUCAAGAGUGUGAGGAAACAGAAUUCCUACCUUACCACGGAGCAUAUAAAUUAGCACAGCCACUUCUAAAGACAACCUAAUGCUAUCCAUUACAAUUUUAAAUUCACAUGCCCCAUGACCCAAUAUUUCUAAUUUUUAAUGAAACACAUUUUACAUACGUUUAUUCAUAAUGUAGCUUCUACGGUGAUGUCUGUUGUUCCUGUGGUUGUAACUAUAAAACUGGAAAAACCAAAAUAUGCAUCUAGGCAAUGGAGCAUGGUACGUGUUACACAUGGUACAUGUUAUAGGUCACUAGGCGUCAGUGAAAAAGAAUCAAGAGUCCUACAUGCACUGACAUGGAAAGAUCUCUUAAGAUACAAUGUUAAGUUUUUUAAAAGUUUAGGGGAAAAUAGAAGGAUAAUACAUGAAAUACACAUGGUACCACUGAUGUUAAAACACAUACCACACCCAUUCACACAAAUACUGUAUAGUGUACAUCUGAAGUACCUAAUUGUGUAUUAUAAAAAUGUAUAGAGAAGGUCUGGAAGGGUACUAACCAAACUGUUCACAGUAGUUUGGUGGAGUGCAUUAGCUUUACCUGUAAUGUUUGAUGUUUUUGAGUAUGCAUUCAUGUAUUGUUUGUGUAAUGGACCAAUUAAUAAAUUAGAAAUAAAAUAAAA
ensembl:lncRNA